UUUCGGUAACUUGAAAGUAGAGGAAAAAUCAGUUUUAAUAAAUUCAAUUGCAAAGCAAACCGAAACCAUUUGCCACAUUACAACAACUACAAAAUACAUCACGCUGCUGUUACUUCUGCCGCAGCGGACAAAUUGCCAACGAAGCUAAGUUAACACACAUUAAUGGAAAUUCAAUAAUCACCAAACCAAAAAAUCGCUGAACAGAUUGGCACCUGAGCUACAAAUAAAUCAAUAUUGCACGGUGGUGUGGGGUACCAAAUAUUACAUUUAUCCGUCUAUUUGUCAAACAUCCACCAUCGAUCAAAAACGCUGAAGCACUGAACAACAAACAAAACCAAUAACAACUACAACAACAACAACAUCAACUUCAAUUCCAAUCUCCAUUCGGCUUCACUUUACAUCGUAGCUCGAACAUUGUAAUUUACAUUCCACAGCAGUUACAAUCACAACACACCGAUACUUCAACUGAAUUCCCGAGGGGAGAUGGAGGGAAAUUGAAACAUUUUUCAGCGAUGGUGGAUCGAAAAUUCGAGGUGGAAAUUUGUUGACGGUUCAAUAGGUCCUGCUAUCUAAGUACUUUUUAUAAACAGAGUCGUUCAAAAAUAUAUUGGUCAACUAGAGGUGAGAGGUCUUGCAAAAAUGCUAUGGAAAUCCUAAGAUUUGCAUAAAUGUGAGGCCAGGUGUGAAAAUGAACAAUAUCGGUACACUCCAUUAAGUACCUCCCCCACAAGGGGUCAACAUUUUGAGUAAUUAUAACUCUUAAAAAAUUUGAUGUAAGUGUCCGAUUGUCUUCAAAUUACACACACCACAAUAUUUUUAUUAACCCAAAGUCUGGUAUGAAGAUGGAAUAAAUCGGUCCACUCCUUCCGGUACCUUCUCCACAAAGGGUCACAUUUUUGAAUAUUCAUGAAGCUCAUAAAACGCGAAAUUAACAUCCGAUUGCAUUCAGAUUUGGUAUAUCUUAAGAUUUCUAUCAACACAAGAUCUUUUAUAAAUAUGGUAGAGAUCGGACCCUUUGUAUUGGAGGUGCCAUUAACCAAAGCGAUCAUAAAAUCCAAAAUAAGCAUCCAACUCUCUUCAAAUUUCACACAUACAAUCAUUUUUCCUAACACAAGAUCUGUUGUGAAGAUGAUCUAUCUGCGAACCCCAGCUGCUACCUUAUACGAUGGGUCACAAUUUUCAAUAUUUUUAUCUGUCAUAACUUGCGAAACAAGUCAGCGAUUCUUUACAACAUGCUACAGGGUGAGAUGAAAAAACUACAACCAACUUCAAACUGUGAAGUAACAAUUUGGCAAUCACAGCUUAGGUGGUAAUUUAUCAAAAUUCGAAAAACUAAUGGCGGUUUUUAUUUUAAGUUUUGUGCGAACAUUUUUGGAAAUGAUAUUAAUUUGAAUGUGUUACAUAAUUAUAUACAAUUUUGGAAUAUAAAAUACCUUUCUAAAAUUUCAUCGGAUAAGGGAUCGGAAAAUAGA